GACGAACGCUGGCGGCGUGCCUAAUACAUGCAAGUAGAACGCACAGUUUAUACCGUAGCUUGCUACACCAUAAACUGUGAGUUGCGAACGGGUGAGUAACGCGUAGGUAACCUGCCUGGUAGCGGGGGAUAACUAUUGGAAACGAUAGCUAAUACCGCAUAAUAUUAAUUAUUGCAUGAUAAUUGAUUGAAAGAUGCAAUUGCAUCGCUACCAGAUGGACCUGCGUUGUAUUAGCUAGUAGGUGAGGUAACGGCUCACCUAGGCGACGAUACAUAGCCGACCUGAGAGGGUGAUCGGCCACACUGGGACUGAGACACGGCCCAGACUCCUACGGGAGGCAGCAGUAGGGAAUCUUCGGCAAUGGACGAAAGUCUGACCGAGCAACGCCGCGUGAGUGAAGAAGGUUUUCGGAUCGUAAAGCUCUGUUGUAAGAGAAGAACGGGUGUGAGAGUGGAAAGUUCACACUGUGACGGUAUCUUACCAGAAAGGGACGGCUAACUACGUG
rnacentral:rRNA from 1 species